rnacentral:rRNA from 1 species
AUUCCUACGGGAGGCAGCAGUGAGGAAUAUUGGUCAAUGGGCGGGAGCCUGAACCAGCCAAGCCGCGUGAGGGAAGAAGGUACUGAGCAUUGUAAACCUCUUUUGCCAGGGGACAAAGGCGGCCACGGGUGGCCGUAAGAGGGUACCUGGAGAAAAAGCAUCGGCUAACUCCGUGCCAGCAGCCGCGGUAAUACGGAGGAUGCGAGCGUUAUCCGGAUUUAUUGGGUUUAAAGGGUGCGCAGGCGGCGUGUCAAGUCAGCGGUAAAAUGUCGGGGCUCAACCCCGGCCGGCCGUUGAAACUGGCG